rnacentral:rRNA from 1 species
UACAGAGGUCUCAAGCGUUGUCCGGAAUCAUUGGGCGUAAAGCGCGUGUAGGCGGUUCGAUAAGUCUGCUGUGAAAGUCAAAGGCUUAACCUUUGAAUGCCAGUGGAUACUGUCGGACUAGAGUGCGGAAGAGGCAAGUGGAAUUCCUGGUGUAGCGGUGAAAUGCGCAGAUAUCAGGAGGAACACCAACGGCGAAGGCAGCUUGCUGGGACGUUACUGACGCUGAGACGCGAAAGCGUGGGGAGCAAACAGG